CAAACUGGAGAUGGCGACCGGCGCACGGGUGAGUAACACGUAUCCAACCUGCCGAUAACUCGGGGAUAGCCUUUCGAAAGAAAGAUUAAUACCCGAUGGUAUAAUAAAACCGCAUGGUUUAAUUAUUAAAGAAUUUCGGUUAUCGAUGGGGAUGCGUUCCAUUAGGCAGUUGGUGAGGUAACGGCUCACCAAACCUUCGAUGGAUAGGGGUUCUGAGAGGAAGGUCCCUCACAUUGGAACUGAGACACGGUCCAA
rnacentral:rRNA from 1 species